CGGGUGCACUGAUCCAGCCGGGCCUUUCCCUCUGUGGAACCCCAUGGCCUUCACUGGCUGUGGUGGGGAAACAGGACUUUUACUUUGAAAAAAUUAGAGUGCUCCAGGCAGGCCUAUGCUCGAAUACAUUAGCAUGGAAUAAUAGAAUAGGACGUGUGGUUCUAUUUUGUUGGUUUCUAGGACCGCCGUAAUGAUUAAUAGGGACAGUCGGGGGCAUCAGUAUUCAAUUGUCAGAGGUGAAAUUCUUGGAUCUAUUGAAGACUAACUACUGCGAAAGCAUUUGCCAAGGAUGUUUUCAUUGAUAAGGAACGAAAGUUAGGGGAUCGAAGACGAUCAGAUACCGUCGUAGUCUUAACUAUAAACUAUGCCGACUAGGGAUCGGACGAUGUUAUUCUUUGACGCGUUCGGCACCUUUCGAGAAAUCAAAGUGCUUGGGCUCCAGGGGGAGUAUGGUCGCAAGGCUGAAACUUAAAGAAAUUGACGGAAGGGCACCACCAGGGGUGGAACCUGCGGCUUAAUUUGACUCAACACGGGGAAACUCACCAGGUCCAGACACAGUGAGGAUUGACAGAUUGAGAGCUCUUUUCUUGAUUCUGUGGGUGGUGGUGCAUGGCCGUUCUUAGUUGGUGGAGUGAUUUGUCUGCUUAAUUGCGAUAACGAACGAGACCUUAACCUGCUAAAUAGCCCGUACUGCUUUGGCAGUUCGCCGGCUUCUUAGAGGGACUAUCGG
rnacentral:rRNA from 1 species